rnacentral:lncRNA from 1 species
GAUGUUGUUCCCAUUGUGGGUAUGCCAGGCCUUGGUAAGACCACAUUAGCCCACAAAGUUUAUAAUGCUCCUUCAGUUAGGUCACAUUUCCAUGUUCAUGGUUGGUGUCGUGUUUCUCAAACGUGUAGCAAACACAGUUUGUUAGUUCAACUUUUGUGUAGUGUUGAUUCUAGGAGUCCAGAUGAAUAUCUUAAGGAGGAUGAAAAUAAUUUGGCUAACAAGCUAAGACAGGUUUUGCUGAGAAAUAGGUAUCUCCUUUUUUUGGAUGACUUGUGGGACGUUGAGGCAUGGAAUUUGUUGGAAAAAUCACUACCGAAUGAUGCCAAUGGUAGCAGGAUUCUCUUCACCAGUAGAUACCAGAAUUUAUCUUUGCAUUUCAAACCUAAUAGCGAGCCUCACCAUCUCCGCCAUCUUACUGACGAAGAGAGUUGGACAUUGCUGCAGAGAAAGCUAUUUGGCAGGGAAGAUUGUCCUCCAGCAGUAAGUGAAGUUGGAUCUCAAAUAGCAAAACUUUGUCAGGGCUUACCCCUCGCAGUUGUCCUUAUUGCUGGAAUUCUUGCUACUACUGCACGAGAUAGCUGGUUAGAAGUUGCAAAAAGUCUAAGUUCUAUUGUCCUUGAGGAUGAAUACUGCAUGAAGGCACUUGAACUGAGUUAUAGUCAUCUGCCAGAUUAUUUGAAGCCAUGCCUUCUGUACUUUGCUGCAUUUAAAGAAGACGAGGUUAUUAAUGUGCGAAGGUUGUUACGGCUUUGGAUCUCUGAAAGAUUCGUGCAACAGGCUGAAGGAAAGAGAGUAGAGGAAGCAGCUCAUGACUACUUUGUGGCUCUAGUUAAUAGAAGUUUAGUUAAGGGUGUCGGACAAAGAACUGUGGGUGGUGCCAAAGCCUGUCUACUUCAUGAUUUGGUACACGAGUUUUGUGUGAAAAAAGCCAAAGAAGAAAGUUUUCUAUAUGAUGUUCAUACUUGGAACCCUCUUGGGCUUACUGGACCAAGCAACCCCCACCGAGUUUGUGUCCACAAUACCAGAGAAUUGAAGAUUUGGGAGUUAACGCUUAUUUUUCCCAAUUUACGCUCUUUGAUCUUGUUUGGACAUGUUCAUAUUGAACAUGAAGAGGAGGAUUUGGAUAUUUUGUUACCUAAACUUCUCAGAGUGUUGGAUUUCCGGAAUUUGAAGUUUUGUUAUUCUUUCCCAAUGGAAGUAGUAUUGCUUGUUCACUUGAGAUACCUGGCGCUCAGAGGAGUAACAUACAUCCCAUCUGCGAUAGCCAACCUCUCAAGGUUAGAAACUCUCAUCGUAGAAGUUCAGGGUUUUAGUUGUGAGCUGCCAAGUACUAUUUGGAACAUUAAGACAUUGAGUCAUCUACUUGCUAUAAAUUAUCAUGGAGUAUGGCCAAGGGGUUUUAUUUUUCCAGUUGAAAAUCUUGAAGUAUCCCCAGAUUUAGAUCGUUUGGACACUUUAAACCUUGCAGUUGAUCCCUCUCCUCAAAGCUUGCAAAAGAUACUGAGAAAGUUACCAAGCAUUCGCAGGUUAAAAUGUAUGGAACACCCGGGCGGAUCAAGAGAAGCUACCAGAAAUUGCAACGAGAUUCUUGAGUUUGACAGUUUGAGUCAACUGGAAUCACUUUAUUUGUAUGGUUUUCACGGAUGUGGAUUCAAAUUCCCGUUGAAUUUGAAAAAGUUGGCUCUCUCAUAUAAUUGUCAGCCAUGGAGUGAAAUUUCAACAAUUGGAAAGUUGCCGAAUCUUGAAGUGCUUAAAUUACUUGAUCACAGCUUUGUCGGGGAAGAAUGGGUAAUGAAAGAGGGGGAGUUCCCUAACCUCCGAGUCUUAAAAUUGUCAAGGUUGAAAUUUCGCAACUGGACUGCAUUUUCUGAUAAUUUUUCCCGCCUUGUGAAAUUGGUCUUGCACCGAUGUAAGGAGCUGGAAAAGGUCCCUUCUUGUUUGGGGGAGUGUGAGACUCUUGAAAUGAUUGAGGUGGAAGGGUGUCUUGAGUCUGUCGUAGAUUCUGUAGAGCAAAUUCAACAAGAGCAGAUUGAUAUGGGAAAUGAGGUUCUAAAGAUCGAAAUUCAUUCCAUUUCCUCAUAAGAAGAGUCUACAGAAGCAGAGUCAACUCCCUCAGAAGCAGAGGAGGUUUCUUCAGAAAGAGAGUCUAUAUCCUCUCAUCACGCAGUUGGCAAUUGUGAGAGUGAAUGUACAGUGGGAUUCCACUCAUCAGGUCAGAUAAAACUAUAUUUGCAUAUGUUGAAUCAGUUCAAUUAUAUAAUGAUUCAUGCUUCUCUUAACAGUUUACGACGGCAAACCAUUCAUGUCUCUUUUUCAUUUGUUUAUAUGUUGAAUCAGUCCAAUGAUGUGUUAAUUCAUGUGUAUUUUGAAGCAAUUUCUGCUGCAUAACUUUCUGAUAAAUUUCUGAUUGAUGCACAAUCUGUUUCUAAAAUCUUCUUCUUGCCAUUUUCUGGUUCAGUGUUGAGUAAUUUUUAUGUCCCAAUUUCCGAAAUCUUCUUCCUUGUUGCUACAUAACUUGAUAUGAUGCUCAAACCAGAUACACUUAUCUGUUCCCAAUUUGUGCAUGUAAAUAAGAGUAAUACAGAAAAGUGUGGCUUACUUCUAGUUUUCCUCAAUAAAAAACAUAAUUCAAUUGACUGAUAUGUUGAAACCUACAAUCACAGUUUUGCAACAAAUAUUAAGUGGAGACCAAAACCCAAAAAAAAAAAAACAACAAACUAUGGUUGUGUUACUUUUCAACAGAGGAAGGGCAUAGGACUUAAUAUGUGUUUUUCUUCACUACAACAUGCUGAAAUACAAACAUUUUCAUUCUUUAAUAGGCAAUAUUUUCGGAAAUAAAAAAGGAAGCAAUUUUUUCUUAAACUUUUUUUUUGUGUGUGGUUUCAUGUUUUAUUUUGCUAUUUUAAGUGGUUAAUUGCUCAAACUGAUCAAAAUGACAAAUCAAAGAAACCAGAUGACCUAUUUUGUUGGGUAUUCUGUAUACCUCUUCAUUCAACUGAUGUAGUACUGCAAUUUUUCCUUCUUCCAGAGCAGGUUUCCUCAGAGGGUGAAGACUGAAACAUUUAUGUCUCUCCUUGAUUUGGUGUGGUCAUUCCACUCAUCAGGUUAGAUAUAAUUGUAUGUGUAUGUUAAUUCAGUUCAAUGACGUAUAAUUACUGAUCAUGUCCCUUCUUCAUCAUCUGUACCAAAUUAUUUGAUUUGAACUUUGAUGCAGCUGUAUUACUUUGUCAUUGCAGGGGCAAGCACAGUCAUGCAUUCUUUCAAGCCAACAUUAUCCAUCAUAAUCUGUUUGUAAAAUGUUCUUUUCUGGUUUGAUGUUUAAUAGUGUUUAUGAUCCAUCACAAUCUGUUUGUAAAAUAUUCUCCAAGUUCUUUCCUGAUUUUGAUGUUUAAUAGUGUUCAUGAUCCCAGUUUCUCAAAUAUUCUUCAAUCCUGCUACAGAUUGAAAUGAUCCUCAAAACUAGCUCUUUGUAGAAUGUUCUCCAUGUUCUUUUCUGAUUUGAUGUUUAAUAGUGUUCUUGAUCCCAAUUCUUCAAAUAUUCUUCAUUGCUACUACGGAUUAAAAUUAACGCAGACAAUAAAAGGAGGCUAUUUAGUAGCCACUCGCAUUUCUUUGCAUUCUUCAACCUAGCAAAAGUCUAAAGGGUGUAACUUUUCUUAACUCUUUUCUGUGCUAUUUCAUCUUUUAUUUUCUGAUCAAUGCGAUUAAUUGUUCAAUGUUCAACCUGGUAAAAUUGACAAAUUAAAGAAGCUGGAUGACAUUUUUGCUGAACAAUCUAAUGUACUUCUUCAUUUAACCAUGUAACUUAUUUAAUACUCCUUCCCUUUUUUUUAUAACUGACGUUUAAAGUUUUGCACACCAAUUAAGAAAAGUUUUUCAUUACUUAAAUCUAUACACUACUUUCCUUUUGUACCCUCAUUAAUUACUAGAGUUGUUACAAAGAGAGAAGCAAUAAUUACUAGGAGUAGUAAUUAAGAACCCUGUAUUGGAAAGAGAGAUAAAAGGGUAAAAUUAUGAAAAAAUAAUUAAUACUGUAUGGGAAUAAUAAAACGACAGAUAAAAGUACACUAGAACAAAUUUCUAAAACGUCAGUUAUAAAAAAAAGGGAGGGAGUACAAGAAUAUUUAGAAAAUAGAGAAAACCAUUAGCUGGCAAUCAUCUAAGGCUAAUGAUUGUUGCUAUGACUUGUGAGCCUAAAAGGUACAGAAUGCCAGGUGAAAGCUGACUUUAACUUUCUUCUAUCCAAAUGAUUGUAAUCCAAAAUUCCAAAUAUCAUUUCCUCCGCUUUAUUUUUCAACUUUCUUUCUUUCUUUGGGCCUUUGUUUCAAUUUUGUUUUUCGGAAUUUGGGCUGUAGCUUACUGGGUAUAUUAUUUCUUCUGUUUUUUUUUUGAUGUUUUAGUUUUUUUUUGGUAUUCUCUGUAUAUUUUCUUGGGUUCCCUAAAAGAAACCUACACAACUAACAAAAUAGAACAUAUUAUUAUAUUAAAAACCAAAACUUAUUAAUCUAAAUACGCAUGUAUAGACGCAGUUUACAAACUCACGGAGUCCUCAUGGAUGGACCACUACUGAAGCAUCACAAAACAUAAUUAGUUCUUUUAAUAGCCAUUUAAUUACUCUAUCAAAUCUCGUCCCAAUGAUCAACAAAGGGUUCUUAGAUUCUUUUUCAUACCAAGUUCAAAAUUCGAAUCAUGUAUCUGACAAUUGGAAUUAAAAAGCAAUUCAAAUCAUGUGCUUGACAGUGGAGAGUAAAAUGUAUGUGAGAAGGAAUGGGAGGAUUUUAAAAAAAAAAGAAAAAAGAAGAGUCUCUCCUUGUCUAUAUACAAUAGUGUUCCUCUAUGUGGCUUGUAUAAUUGACUAGACAGCAAAGGCAAGACUUCUAAUGAUCAAGUCACUCUACGUUAACCUUUUAAUGUUUAUUCCACUUGCACCUUUAAAGUUCCUUCUAUUUUCAUUUUGCUUAAUCUUAGUUACAAAACUUUACAUCUUAUCUUUCAAAACAAAUUCUAAAUCUUACAAAGGGCUUAAAUAUUGAAUGAAAAACCUUAUAUUCACCUAGUUUUUUUUUUUGUCAAAUAUUCACCUAGUUAUACUACUCUAAGCUGAACUAGGGCAUGAGAGCACAAUCUACUAUUGUUAAUGCCAUGCAUCCAAGGGGUGCUGAGGGGGGCCACAGCCCCCUAAGUUUUGAAAGUUUUAAUUCACAGUGUGUAAAUAUGGGUGUAAAACAAAGUUAGCCCCCUAAUUUUCAUAAUUUUAGUUUAUAUUAUGAUAUAUAUAUAUAUAUAUGAUUUAGCCACCUUUGAAUUAAUUUUUUCUUCAAAAAAUUAUUAAUAUUUUAUUGUGCUAGUUAUUUAACUUUUAAAAAAGAAAACAUAUAAUCAAUAACCCAUAGUAAAUUGACCCAAUUUGAUACAUUAUAAUAAAUGACCCAAUUCAUAAUUAUCAAUGGGUUAAAACAAAACAAUUACUUUUUUUGGCUAAUAUAUAAAUAUACAAUUUAGCUCAAUUAAUUAGACUCAUUCUCACUCUUACUGUAUCAACUGUAACUAUAUGACGGAUAUUUUCAAUUAUGAAGAUAUUCAAAAUAGUUACGAAACAAGAUGGAAGAUAAUUUCUUGAAUGGUUGCCUAAUUGUGUACAUAGAAAAGAAAUUUGUUGAAAAAUUAGCGUUAAUUCAAUCAUAGAUAAAUUUACUUCUAAAAGGAAUGUAAAACUCAAUUUACUUUUAAGAAAAGAGGUUGAAAUUUUAGUGUAUGUUAACAUAAUUUUUAUCUUUUUAAUUAAAAUAUUUAUAUUUAUAUUACAUAUAUAUAUUUAUUUUGCAUAGGCGACAUAUUGAAGCAUUUUUUCAUAAUGUGCAACUUGGGUUGUUUGUGAUAUUAUAAGAUAUUUAAGAAAAGUUUAUUUUUUGUCUUAAUUUUCAUUUUGACUAUGUUGCAUAUUUAUAAAAUAAACAUACCUUUGUAAUUAAAGUUAAUAUUUGUUAUGUUUAGAUGUCAUAUAUUUAAAUAGAUAGAAAUUAUUUUGAACAUAGCAUAUUAAAAUAAUUUUGUUAGAAAAAUUUUUGACCGCCUGGGAAAAAAAUCUUGGCUUCGUCACUGCAUGUAUCCCAUUUGGUGUUCUCCUUCUCCCUGGCAUAAAAGAUGAGAUUUGUUCACAAAAAGAAAGCAAGUUGGAGAUGAUGAGGUUACCAGAAUGACCAGCAGUAGAACAAAUUCUCGUCUUGUAUACCAUUUGCCACGAAUCCUUCAUCAUAGUUCCUCUUUUUUCCAAUCUAUCCUAAUUUUACAUCCAUUUUGCUCAUUAGUAUAUUCAAAUAUUUAACUUAAUUACAAGUUUAAAACCUCAAAGCUCUUCUGGAAGUUGAGGCUAGUUUACAUUGGAUUAGACAAAUUUUUGUUUGAGUUAUGAUUUUUUUCUUGAAGGAGUCAAAAUGAAUCUUUUAUUCUUUUUGGACCAUUUUUUCUUCAGGAGUCCCGAACUCCAUGAGGUUUUGGUUUUUCUAGUGAUUUCCGACACAUCAGAACUUUUUCAAACUCAACAUACAUUAAAAUGAUUGAACUGAUGGUUCAGAUAAAACCAGUCACUCAUUUUGUUCAUCACUGGUCCACCUUUCAAUAUAUUUUUAUCUGCUAAAGUUGUUCAAAAAGUCUAAUACUUUGAAAAAAAAACGUCCCUAAAGCUUCUAGUAAUAUCAUUUAGCACCCCAAUAGUUCUAAAAGUAUCACUUACCUUCCCCACAAGUGAUGUGGCAAAAAUUCACCAUCGCAGCAUGCAAAGUGAAAGUAUUACCCUCACAACUUAAGAUUAUUUGUUCUAAAAGAUUUUGGAAGGAAAAAGAAUAUAAAUUGACAAAUUAGAAUGUCUAUCUUAACAAUUUUUAGCACUUAAACCUUCAUACUUUUCUAGUCCUUCUAUGCCACCUAUAUAUUACAUUGUCCUUAAUAUUCUAAUAAUAAUUUAGACAAAAAAUCUAUAUAAAAAACAAAACUUAGAUCAAUAUAGAUAAUUGCCACUUAGGAGUUAAUUUUGCACUUAAACCCCCCUUUCCUACACUCCAAUUUUUUUUAAAGUCCUUCUAUGCCAACUUUAUAUUAGAAUACCCUCCCUACUCUAACAAUUAUUCAAAAAAAAAAUUAGUAGAUUAAGUACCAAAAUUUUAUACAACUAAAAAUUUGAUAUUCUAAAAAUUAUAUUUCACUUAAACACCCCUUUGAUUCACUUUGAAUACUCUAAUGACAAUCUUAUAUUAAAUAGCCCUUGCUAUUCUAACAACUUUUUAGGCAAAAAAGUUUAGAAGGAAAAAAAAAAACCAAAAUCCAUCAAGGAAUGGUCAUCUUAACAAUUAUUGUUUACUUAAACUAUCCCGUCCCCCAAGUUUUAGUUCUCCUGUGCCAACUUUAUAUUGACUGAAUUCUCCUAUUCUAACAAUUGUUUGUGCAAAAAGAAUCAAAUGCACUUGAGCAUCUUCUGAAUUAAAUGCAAAUCCAAGGAUUCGAUCACCUAAAAUACAAACUAAUAAAGAAUUUAAAGGUACUAUUACACACCCUAAUAGAAUGACAUGUAUCAUUAGUAGUGCGUUUAAUCCAGAAGCUGCUCAAGAGGACUCUUCUUGCCACCCAUUUCCCAUAGAACCUUCAGUCCAGCAGAUCUAAUCUCCUAGCUUGCAUUCAAUUUAAAAGGUGCUCAACUAUACUUUUUUGGCCACACAGUGUUGGGUUAGGAUUAGGAGUAGAUUAACUAAUAUUGUAUCAACAAAAGAAAAAAAAGGAACAAAAAAAAAACAAAGAUAACCUAGAUCCUUUGGAUCCACUAGUCCCGGUGGUAUUCGACUAGGAGUAGAGUGCACUUUUUUAAUAACUCCUUUUCCAUAAUAUAGGUACAGAUUAACCAAUAUCAUAUUUGGUUAAAAACAAAAAAGACAAAGACAACCGUUUAACCAUCACACCAUGUCAAACGUUUAUGACUAUCCAUUUUUUGUUUUUUCUAGAAUUUUAAAUUCUUAGAAUCUGAUGUUCCUAAAAUGGUCUUUGAUUGCUGUAAAGGGUUUACUACACUUGGCCACCUUAAAGUUCCUUUUAUUUUCAUUUUGCUCUUUAAAUAUUUAGCUUGAAAACUUUACAGGAUUUUCUUUCUAAAGUUGGCUUUUCAUGCCUUACAAAAGGAAAAGAAAAGAAGGGAAGGUUAGAAAGUUGAAUUAAAAACCUUAUGAAUUUUUAUUAAUGUCUUCCAAUUGGAUCGAAGCUUGAGAUUCCAAUCUAUUAAUGUUCACAUUGUAAGGCUUUUUCUAUAUAAUGUCGUAGGGCCGUACAAUAAACAAACUAAAAAUGGACGGUGGAUCCACCCCGGUAUUACAAUAUUAUCGAAGAAGAAAUUAUUUAAACCCAUGUUGACCCUUUUCUCAGAGUUAUCUAACUUAUAACAAUGUAGUUGGAAAAAUAACUCCUCCAAUUAGAAAGUGUUAGCACAUAAAAACACACAACGGAAGCUUGUUACAUUAGGGUGAGCAAACGAUGCAUAUUCGGUAAAUCAGUUAGUUGAAUUCGGUAAAUUCGGUUAUUUGAUUUAUAGAAAUUUAAACCGCUUUCAAAUUCAAAUUGGAUAUAACCGAAUUCAUUUCAUUUCCAAUUUUGAAUUCGGAAAUGGUAAUGAAAAAAAUUACAAUGAUUAAUAAUAAGUAAUAUUAGUUACAAACUUACAAAUUACAAUGAUUAGUGAUAAGUUAUAUUAGUUACAAACUUAUAAUUUACAAUAAUUAGUGAUAAGUUACUAAGUUACAAACUUAUAAUUUAUUUUAAAUCAAAUACAGCUUAUUACUUACUUAUGUUAUCGUGUAGUUGUCUUGUCUGUGCUUAAAGCCUAAAUUCUAAUUACUAAUUAUGUUUAUUGUUUAAUAUUUAGUAUUAUACAUUACUUAUUAAUUAUUAUCUAAUUCUAGUCAUGUAAAAAUAAUAGGUAUUAUAGUUAUGUUAUGUAUUAUUGUAUAUUUGUAUUAUUAUAGUCAUAUAACAAUUAACAAAUACUAAAAUAGUAUAUUGUACAUCACUAUAUAUUAUUAUUAUCAUAAGUACAUGAUAAUACCAUAUACUAACUAUUAUUAAUAGCAUUUACCUAUAUAAUAUAAUAAUAUAUUAAUAGUAUGUACUAAUACUAAAUAGCAUUUAUCUAUAUAUUAUAUAAUUUUAUAAACUAAUUUGGUAUUCGAAUACGGUAAUAAAGUACCCUAUUUCAUUUUACCGAAUUUGAAUGCGAAAUCGGUUAUUAUCAAAUUUAUAAUCUCAUUACCUAUUUUAUAACAUUUAGAAUUCGGUGAAUUCGAUAAAUACUGCUUUUGUACCAAAUUACCAAAUACCCGAUUUCUAAUUACCAAAUUGAAUUUGAAUUCGGUUAUGAAUUUGGUAUGUAGCGAAUAUACUCACCCCUAAGCAUGUUGGACACAUAUAGAAACAUGUGGUAGAAGCGGAGUUUAAUAACCAUAAACGUAUAAAGCAUAUCUGUUUCUCAUAUUUAGACUUGCAUAAAUUCUAGCAGAAUUGCCUUUAUAACAACUGCAAAUCUCUUUAGCAUUUCUCUUAAUUUUCUCAACUGGAUACAAUAUUGAAAUAUCUUAUAUAUUCUCAACAUGACUUGAAAAUUAAAAUUCUACUAAAAUAAGAAAGUACCAUAUAAUUACUUUAUAGCUUGAAUACCUAAAUUGGUAAAACUUGGCUAUACUUUUGUUUUAAUUUUUCCAGUAGGGAAAAUGUGGGACUUAAGAAGUGAAGAAGUGACGGAGUGAUUUGAACCUAAGGUCUCUAAUUUCUAGAGCCUUAACCUUAUCCAUUAAACUGAGGUUUCUAGGCAAAACUUGGCUAUACUUGAAUACUUCUAAACUAGAAAUAGAAAACAUCAAUUAUUAGGAAGUUCGGUUUAAUUAUGUCAACAUUGCCUCCUUUAAACCAAACUUUUCAUGAAUAUAGCUCUAUACUAUUGCCAACCAAAAAAAAAAUCUUCUAAGAUAUUUUUUCUUUAUAAAUCAAUUCUUGCCAAUCACUUCACUUUCAAUUUAUUAGCCUCACUAGCUGAUUAUUGAUAUCAAGAUUCUCAAUUUUGCAAGUCCAUCACAAAAAAAAUGUCGACAAGAAUUUUUCGACAUUUUUUUCAACUCUUUCACAUUACCAAAUUAAAUAUCAACAACUAUGGUAGGAUUUUUUUCUCUAAUCACUGUCUAACACAAAUAACACGAUAACGUCUAUCCAAUUAGGUUCAAUUUUUUUCCUAAUAGUCAAGUAACUGGAGUACCCCAAUAUUAAUUUAGUAAUUUAGUGGCCCAAUUGUUUCUGAUGUUCGAGUACUCUGACUCAUCAAAAAAUUCACAUUUCAAAAUCUAUCAACAUCAACCUUGUAAUCUUAAGUUUACAAGCAUCCCAAGAUCAAAAGGCAGGGCUCUAAUACCACUUUAGUGUAUAAAAGAUGCGUACAAGAGGAUAUUGCCACAUGUAAAAAUAUGUAGGAGAAGAGGAGUUUAAUAGCCAUAAAUGCAUAAAGCACAUCUGAUUCACAUAUUGAGAUUGGCACAAAUACUAGGCAGAAUUGCUUUUACAACAGCCCCAACUCUCCUUAAUUUUUUUCUCACCCUUUUCAACUCAGUAUAAUGCUAAAAUACCCUAUAUAGAGUUAACAUAACUUAGUAAUUAAGAAACUACUGCAACAAGAACUACCACAUAAUUACUCCGUACCCUAAACAACUAAAUUACUAAAACUUGGCUAUACUUGAAUACAUCUAAACUAGAAAUAGGAAACAUCAACUAUUAGGAACUUUGGUUUAAUUAUGCCAAUAAAAAGACAUAUUCUUCCGACCAUCACGCUAUGUCAAAACGUGCAUGGGUUUCGUUGAUUUUAGCAAUGAUAACUGUUCCACAAAAAGCAAUGGCAACAUGCAUGGAUUUAGGAUAAUUUCAUAAGUUAAUUUUGCAUAUAAUGAUAGUGCAUAUAGUAACAACAAUGAAUGAAUGCCACCUAAACUUGAUAUAAUGGUAGUGUAUAAUUUGAAUUUUGUUUCUUGAACAUGUAGCUUGUAAUAUUAUGGGAUAAUUUCAGAAAUCUCCACUAAGGUUAUUGACAAUUUCACUUGUUGAUAGGUCAUAAUUUGUUGCUAAAUUUAUAAUUAUUUUUCCCUUUGAUUUUAGCCAAAUAUUAUUUUAAUUGAUUGAUUCUACUUAUAUUUGGUUAAUGAUGCUAAUUGUAGGAAAAGGAGCAAAACGUGAUUAAAAGUGGUAAUUUUCCAGUUAAUUUGAUGAUGGUACGUUCGGGACUUACAUUCAAGGCCAGAAAGUCGGGAUUGAUAUUGGACAGUUUCCCAAUCCAAAUCAAGUUCCUAAUUUGUUAGCUGCUAUGACUCUCCUUAUUUUGGGGAUCAUUCUCAAAGAAAAGGAAAGUUGGAGGAAAUUGAUUUGUAAUAGGAAUUUUUUUAAGAGUUGGAUUGGUAUUAAGAAACCAAUCAAUUAGGUAAUUGAGAAAAGAUUUGGCAGACAUCAAUUCAUCAUCUCUUUGGCUACAGAAAAAAAAAAAAGCGAUAGUUACUCUUGUCUUUUACUUUUUUUUUUUAGCCGACUUUUGGGAGGAAAAAUGAUGGAAAAGCUUGGAACAAUUAUUUGCAUGGCUUGUUCUCCAUUAAUGGAGAACUAAUUUUAUACUUCUAGUCAAGGGACAACUGAAGAUUUGGUUCAACAAUUACUGUGAGAUCUAAAUUAUUUUAACUGUUUCCUCCAUUUAUUGGUAUUCGUAUGUUUCCUGCUUUUAAUUGUUGUUAUAGUUAUCGUGUAUAAUUGAAUAUAUGCGCAAUAUUUAAUUAUUUACGUAGGCUAUUUGCUAAUUGGGGGUAGUUAAAUCUGUAAUUGUUCGAUUACUUUCAUCCCGGUAGCAACUGGCAUAAUUGGGUUUAUGUCAGGAAAACAUACGAUCUAAUUUAAACAAACUCUCGUAACAUGUUUGUUAGUUAGGAUUGGACCUUUACAAAUCUUAAUGCAAACCAGAAAUUAAAUCCUAUGGUAGUACCUAAGAUUAUUUUUGGGUUGAAGAAAUAGUUAACGGUCGUACCUUGACUAUCGAAUAAGUAAGGAAAAGUUGGUUGUUUAUCGCGUGUAUGACAGCUAUAAUCAAUCUAUUAAUAAAUGUUGAAAUUAUUUGUGAAUUGAUGAUCAGUGCAUGAACCAUUUCUGAAGUGUACACUUGGCUAGAGUUUCUCCAUUUAUUUCUGUCAAUUAAUUAUUUUUCGCAUUUGAUUUAUUUAGUUCAUUAGCAUUUAAUUCUAAAACCUCCCAUUUAUCUUGACUCGAAGGGAAACAAAUUUCUCUCUAGUCCCUGAGGAGACGAACCUACUCACCACUGUCUACUAGUUAGUGAAUUUUGUCAGUUAAUUAAUUCUGGUAUAUCGGAUUAAGCAAAUUCUUCGGGAACAGGAUGAAUCAAGUAACCCAUUACACACCUAGAGUCCCUGCUCCAGUACCUAGAAUUGAUUAUUGACUGCUUUUGGUGAUAGUUAGGUUUUAUUAUCAUUAUUGCACAAGUUCGGCACCUGUCAAUUUUUGGUGCCGUUGUCGGGGAUUGGUGUCUAAUUAAUUUGUUUCCUUUUGAGUUCAUCUUGUUCUCAUUUUUUUUAUUUUUCUCUUUUUUUAAUAUAUAAUUUAUGGCUGCUAACAUUUCGUAUUUUGGUGAUAGAUUGGAUUUUAUUUCUAAAAGGGGUUAUGAGACUCAUGCUUUUCCUAAUGAUCAAUUGGCUAUUGCAAAUUAUGGAAGUUAUUUUAUCUCAGAUCAUUCAACCGACAAAUACCCCGCAUUUCAAGAUGGCCUAAGUACUCCAAUCGAUACUUUUGGAGAUUUUUCAUCUCAAUAUCAAAUGUGAUAUGACCCGUAUUCAAACGGGUAUGAUCAAAGAUGGUGGGAUAAUUCCAAUCUCAAUUAUGCAAAAAGGCCAAUGGAUUUUCAACAGCAAGAGUCUCAACAGCCAUCAUCCAUGUCAGGUAUGUCUCUUGAAGAAAUGAUAAAAUCAAUAGCUGCUAACACACAUCAACUUCAACAAGAGACAAUGAAUUUUCAUCAAGAGACAAUGGAUUUUUAUCAGGAGACACAAGCAAGCAUGCGUAACCUGGCAGAUCAAGAGAAUCAAUUGACAUCUAGGAUAACGCAAUUGAAUUCUCGAAUGUGUGAAGAAUUGACCUAACGGACUAUUAUCGACCAUGAGAAAGAUGAGAGUACAAUUAUCCUGACGAAUGACAUGGUACUGCAAGAGUCUCAAGAAGAAGGAUCUAAAGAUGCAGUUGAAAAGAAAGUUGAGUACAAGAAAUGAGAACCCAACAUUAAAUGGUUCAAAUGAAUGAAUCCAGUGAACAAUCUCCAAAUACGGUGACAUCUCCUCCAUUUCUUAAUCAAUAUUUUUCUAACUCUUAUUCUUUAAUUCCUGUUAGUGAAAUUGAUUUUAUUAUACUAGAAGAUUUUGAGUUUCAUGAUAGGAAUAAGUUAAGAGUUGCAAUAGCAAAAUAUCUCGAAUCAAUAAGUGCUCGUGAUGGAGGAGUGACUGAAGAAUUAAGGUCAUUACUUGUUUGUUUGACGCUAUCUACUAAUCCAUGGAAGACCGUACCUCAUGGGCUCAAGAAUUACGCUAUUUACGAGAGAUAUCAGGACUACAUAGAAGAUGAAGUACUGAAACGAACUGCACGAUUUUAUCUCCCAUGAAUAAAUAUGGAAAUGUCUAACUAAAGACAUUAAAGAAAGGGGCUGCUUGGGAGGCAAUCCAAGGCCUUUGUUUUAGUUUUCUUAUAUUUUUAGAGUUUUUAUUAAGUGUUAGUUGCAUUUAGUGAUUUGUUGCUUUUGUGGCAGGAAGUUGAUAGUUGGGCGUGCUCGCGUCUAGUAGGCACGCCUAAGAAAUGCAAUUAUUUUUCUGCGGUCAGAAAACUUUUCAAUAGUUAGACGUGCCCACGCCAGAUGGUCAUGUUUAAGGAAGGCAAUUUUCGUAUGCAGUCAAAAGACUUUAUAGUAAUUAGGCGUGCUCACGCCAAGUGGUCACGUCUAAGGAUUUCGAAGAUUGGUCAGAAGACUCUCUAGUAGUUAGGCGUGCCCAUGUCAAGUGGACACGCUUAAGAAACUUAAUUUUCGUGGGUUGGUCAGAAGAUUCAAGGGCAGUUAGGCGUGCCUACGUCUAACGCAGUGGUUCCAAAAAUUUUUUUUUUCCUUUCUUUUCUUUUUCUUUUUCCUUUUCUUUUUCUUUCUUCUUUCUUUCUCUCUUUUCUUCUUCUCUUCCUUUUUUUUAUUCCUUUCUUUUCUUUUCUAGCCACAAGACCGCAGCCAAAGGUCCUUAAAUUCCAUUGCCACCGUUGCGCUGUUCAUCGUGGGUCGUUAGUUCCUAAUUAUCGCUACUCAUCGCGCGUAAUUCUUCCUCAUCCAUCGUGAGCCACUCGACAUCCUUAGCUGCCGAUCAUAUCUUUCAUCUUCAUUAGUUUUGCUAUCAAGCUCUACAUGUCUUUUGCCUCUCACUUACAGCUGUGCCACAACCUCCCUUUGAUGAUCAGUUUUGCUAUCAAGCUCUACAUGUCUUUUGCCUCUCACCUACAGCUGUGCCACAACCUCCCUUUCGUUGUUCCUUUUUACUUUGUAUUUUAUUCUUUAUUACUUAUAUUGGGGACAAUGUAAGAUUUAGGUGUGGGGGGAAUAGUAUAUUGGUAUUUUAUUGCAAAAGUGUAAGUGUAGGCAUUUUUGUUGGAAUUUUUUGUUUGACUUUGUCGAAUUUUAUCCAAUUUUUGCCUAUCUUUGUACAUAUUUGUUAUUAUUCCUGAUAAAUGAUGAUUAGAUGUCUCAAAAUUUUCUAUUGCUAAGAUUUUACAUUCUAAGGUGUUAAGUAUGACAUGAUUAAGUUUAAGGGUAUCUUUUUGAUGAAUAUUUGAGAUUUUGUGACUUUUGCACUUUUUUGUUAACUUCUCUAAAUAUUGUAAAUAUUUGUCUAGCAUUUUUUUUUAUACAAAUUGGUUCAACUAUUAAUCUUAGUUCUCCAUGUUUAAGAAAUGAAGUGGGUUUGUAUAAUUUUUAAUUUUAAUUUGGUGUUUAUUUAUGAGCAGUAUUCGGCUAUACUCCACUAGUAUUGUUGCCUAGUAACCGGAGGUCUUCAUCACAAGUGUUGACUUUCGCGUUAAAAAGCGACGAUAAUUAUAAGUAUUUGGUCCUUUAGCGAUAAAAGUUGAAUAAUCGGGUUCCUUCAUUUGGCCAAUGUCGGAGUUCGCGUCAAAACGUUUAAAUGGCUAAAGACUAAGCAUUCCCCCCCUGAAGAAAAAAAAAUCAAUCAAAUGUGAGGAUAUUUAGAAAAAAUAUGUGCUAAUAGUGAAAAAUGUGGAACUAUUUGAGUGAAUUGUUAGCCCGCUAAUCCAUAAAUUUUAAUAUUGAAAUUUUGCUUAAUAGCCGAAUCAUUUGCUUAUGGAUAUUGAUUGAAUAUUUUAUAUUUUUAGAUUAAUUAGUCAUAAAUUGAAAGAGUCCUUGAUCUUGAAAACUAACUGGAGAGAUAUUUUUUGAAAAUUGUCACUAAUACUUGACAUAUGUUUUAAUUGUACAUUGGCAAUAGAAGAUUUGAGCAAUAGCCAUUGUUUGAAUUUGAUUGUUUGAUUUGUUGCUCUCAUGCUUGAGGACAAGCAUGGUUUAGGUGUGGGAAAAAUUGAUAGGUCAUAAUUUGUUGCUAAAUUUAUAAUUAUUUUUUCCUUUGAUUUUAGCCAAAUAUUAUUUUAAUUGAUUGAUUCUACUUAUAUUUGAUUAAUGGUGCUAGUUGUAGGAAAAAGGAGCAAAACGUGAUUAAAAGUGAUAAUUUUUCAGUUAAUUUGAUGGUGGUACGUUCGGGACCUACAUUCAAGGCUAGAAAGUCGGGAUUGAUAUUGGGCAGUCUCCCAAUCCAAAUCAACUUCCUAAUUUGUUAGCUGCCAGGACUCUCCUUAUUUCGGGGAUCAUUCUCAAAGAAAAAGAAAGUUGGAGGAAAUUGAUUUGUAAUAGAAAUCUUUUUAAGAGUUGGAUUGGUAUUAAGAAACCAAUCAAUUAGGUAAUUGAGAAAAGAUUCUGCAGACAUCAAUUCAUCAUCUCUUUGGCUAUAGAAAAAAAAAAAAUAGUUACUCUUGUCUUUUACUUUUUCUUUUUAGCCGACUUUUGGGAGGAAAAAUGAUGGAAAAGCUUGGAACAAUUAUUUGCAUGGCUUGUUCUCCAUUAAUGGAAAACUAAUUUUAUACUUCUAGUCAAGGGAACAACUGAAGAUUUGGUUCAACAAUCACUGUGAGAUCUAAAUUAUUUUAACUAUUUCCUCCAUUUAUUGGUAUUCGUAUGUUUUAUGUUUUUAAUUGUUGUUAUAGUUAUCGUGUAUGAUUGAAUAGAUGCGCAAUAUUUAAUUAUUCACGUAGGCUAUUUUCUAAUGGGAGGUAGUUAAAUCCGUAAUUGUUCGAUUACUUUCAUCUCGGUAGCAACUGGCAUAAUUGGGUUUAGGUCAGGAAAUCAUACAAUUUAAUUUAAACAAACCCUCGUAGCAUGUUUGUUAGUUAGGAUUGGGCCUUCCAAAUGUUAAUGCAAAUUAGAAAUUAAAUCCUAUGGUCGUACCUAGGAUUGUUUCUGAGUUGGAGAAAUAGUUAACGGUCGUACUUUGACUAUCGAAUAAGUAAGGAAAAGUUGGUUGUUUAUCGCGUGUAUGACAUCUAUAAUCAAUCUAUUAAUAAAUGUUGAAAUUAUUUGUGAAUUGAUGAUCAGUGCAUAAACCAUUUCUGAAGUGUAACCUUGGCUAGAGUUUCUCCAUUUAUUUCUGUCAUUUAAUUAUUUUUCGCAUUUGAUUUAUUUAGUUCAUUAGCAUUUAAUUCUAAAACCUCCCAUUUAUCUUGACUCGAAAGGAAACAAAUUUCUCUCCAGUCCCUGAGGAGACGACCCUACUCGCCACUGUCUACUAGUUAGUGAAUUUUGUCAGUUAAUUAAUUCUGGUAUAUCGGAUUAAGCAAACUCUUUAGGAACAUGGUGAAUCAAGUAACCCAUUACACACCUAGAGUCCCUGCUCUAGUACCUAGAAUUGAUUAUUGACUGCUUUUAGUGGUAGUUAGGUUUUAUUAUUAUUAUUGCACAGGUUCGGCACCUAUCACUUGUCUCUCCUCAACUUUUGGAAAUCUCACAUAUUCCUAGCAGACAAUAGGGACCUGUUGAUGACGAAAGGCACAACAAAAAACUUAUAUCUUUAGUCUUUGGUGAUAUUAACUAAACAAUUUCUCACCUUCAAAGGUAAUUUGCAAAAAAUCAAGUCAAGUCUUAUUUCCACAACUUCGUAAUACGAUGCAAAAAGAAAAUAUUAAACAAACAAAAAUUAGCAAUGAUAAUGAUUCUACUGCACCUUUCACAAGGAAAAAAAAAGCUGUUCUCCAAUUUUCCAUGGUUACUCUCUCUUCUAAGCUUUAAUUCACGCUCGUCAAGCCAUAUAUAUUUUAGUAUAAACUUCCAAGCUUUUAAUAAGAAACUUGUAACAUCACCAUUUUCUCAUAAUCAAUAGCACAUAAAUUUCAAAAAAGCUCUUCAACUUUGCCGGCAUUUUAUUCUUGCUUUUCUGGAUAAGAUUGACAUUAAUUCAAUAAUUGAGUUCUAGGAAUCCCUCGUACUUAUUACUCAUUUUUUGUUUAACCUUCAACUUAUCAAUUACAAAGAAUGAUGAAAAUCUUUAAAAGAAAAAUUAAACAAAAAAAGACCAAGUCUAAUAAACAAGUCAUACUUAUUGCAAUUCUAAUGAUUAGUUUCUUUCUCCAAUUUUAAACAUAAGAAUUAGUUCUUCCUAAUAUAUAGCAAUUCAUUAAAUCAAGUUUAUCAAUUCCUAUACGUAAUUUGGUCUUUUCAUCAAUUAGCAAAUGAUUGCGUUACUCUAGUUUUUAUAAUUCUAGGAGAGAACUCUUUGAUAAUACACUCUAGUUAUGGUAACUUUGGUAUUAGAAAAAACAAUGUUCUAGUAAUAUCAUUUUUGCUAAAAUGAAAUCUGUAUUUAAAACUUGAAACAUCUCAAAUUUAUAUAACUAAAUAAAUGUAAAAAAAUACAGGGUGUCACAUCUAGUCUUUUGCUUUUGGUCUACAACUUUUAAUACAAUUAAAAAUUUCUUAAUUAUUGGCUUGGAUUGAGGGAUUUGAAGAAAGAUUUGAAAUCUUCUCAAACACUUCUAAAUUUUUUGGAUUACUUAGGUUGUAUAUGAUUUUGGAAUUCACUACUCAUUGAAUGCAUUUAAGCAGUAAAAUAAAUGGUGGAUUUUAAAACCAAAGGCCUCUGAAGUAAUUCAAAUGACCUAGAAGAAUUAGAGAGGAUAUCAAAUUUUCAUCAAAUCCCUCAAUCCAAAUCCAUCAUAAAACAAAUUGUUGCAACACAAAAGUUCAUUAUGGUACAAAAUUCUAUUCUCUCCCUUGAAAUUGUUUAUCCUUUAUUGAUUUGGGUUGACAUGGCGUACAAAAAUGCCAAAUAAUGGACGCAUGUAAGACUUUCAAAAGUUUAGGGGAGGUAAGUGAACUUCUUAUUGUCCCCAAUGUUAUUGAAGUUAUUCAAAUUUGGAAGCAGGCAGGACUUUAAGAUACAAAUAAUGAAGUGUCCAAAGUAAAAAAGUCUACAUUUAAAGUGUCAUAUUACAAAAUGAGACAUGAUGGUGCAACAUUAAUUUCGUACUAAUGCCGAAUUGCUAAUGCAUAUCAAAUGUAAUUCCAAUUUCCAAACCUUUCUUUCCUGAUGGAACUGCUAGCCAUUUUUUAUAUCUUUGUUUUUUUGAGGUAAUAGUUUACAGCCAAAACAGGCACAAAAAUAUCAAAAACGGCCUUGGGAGUAGGGCUGCAAAUGAAGAGCGGCUCGAGUCAAGUUCGACUCGAGUUAUAAAAUAAUUAUUUUUAUUUUUUCGAGUUCGAACUUUAAAUUGUCAGUUCGUCGAGCUUGAACUCGAGUUCAAGUUCAAUAAAACUAAGUCAAGGCUCAACUCAAUUAGGCUAAAAUUCGACUCGACUCAGCUCGUUUGCAGCCCUACUUGGGAGGAGGGGGAACAUAAAACGUGAAAUCCUUGGAAAACCACAAGUUUAGUUUCUUUACAGUAGUUCACUUUGCAAUCACAGCUUUCCUCCUCUUAAAGCAUUUUGAUCCGGGGGCGGAUUUAAGGUGGGGGCACGGGCCCCCACUACCCCCCUUAAAUUCCUAUAAUACUUAUAUAAUUUUAACAUAAUUUUAAGCGUGUCCUCAGAGUUUUUUUAGAAAAGAUGUGAAAGAAUGGGUCACAAAAUUUAGUUUAGUUAUUUAUAUUGAGAAAAAUAUACUUUGUGAAAUUCAAAAUGAGAAAGUUAUAAACCAUUAUCAAAAUAUGAAAAUUCGUAAUUGUAAAUAGUUUAGUUUUUUUUUGAAAUAAAAUUAUUAUUACAUUAAUAAUUUUGAGUUUGUCUUUUUAUGUUUUUCAUGGAAUAUACGUAUUAUUUGUACUUGUUGGUGAAUUUAUUAUUUUUUUUUGCUUAAAAAACUAGAAAAAGAGUAGAUAAAAAAUUUUAGUGUUAUUUUGCCCGCACUAAGAUUUUUUUUCUGGCUUCGUCACUGCUUUGAUCUUCACCCUUUUCUCAGGGAUUUCCGAUACUAAUUCCAUUGAUGGCUUCAAAAAUCAUUCUUUAGAAUAUACAUCAAUAACGCUUUAAAAUAAGUGUUUGUAAUUAUCAUGCGUUAAAGUAAUACUUGUCAUAUAUCAUCUCAAUUCUGAAAUCUUCUCCAAUGCUGCUAAUACAGCGUUGAUAUGAUCCUUCAAACCAGCAUAUGUGCUAGUUAGACAUUUUUCGUGACUUUUCUAUAAAUCAGUCUGACUAAUACUGAAAUUUCAACUGCUUCUCUCAUUUUUGAGUAAAGAACCAUAAACUUUAACUGUUUGAUAUGUUAAAAUCUCUGUGACUUGCAUAGAACACUUGUUAUGCAGUAAAUACUAAGCAGAGACAGAAUUAGGAAAAGAAUUUAAAAGCAUUAUACCGGUCCAAGUAAGUUGCACAAACGUUAAAUGUCAAACACAGCAGUUUUAUAUGUUGCAUGAAGGUUGUUAUAUUGAGUCCCUGUUUCAUUUGAAACAGACACUUUGAAAUAGCUGCAUAUAUCAGCCGAAAGAAACAAUCUGAAAACCUGUCAAAAUGUUGUUUUUAUGUUCAUCUUUCUUGUUUCGCAGUAAGUACAAACUUUUCAUUCUUCAACUUAGCAAUAUUUUUGGAAGUCCAACAAAAGUAAUUUUCCCUAAACAUUUUUCUUUGCUGUUUACUCUUUUCUUCUCCAGCUUUAGUGAAUAACUGUCCCAAGCUAAUGAAAAUUACAAAUGAAAGAAACUGCAUGUAUAGUUUUGUUAAGCAAUCCAACUUUCCGUCCUCUAGAGAGAUUAAUUACAAACAAAUUAAAAAUCUCAGGAAAAAGACACAAGAUUCUUGAUUAAGUGCAUAUUCUCUGUCCUCGGACACUUGCAGCUGCUGGACAAACUAGGGGAUGACAAAGAAACCCAUGAGGGCCAAAUGCAGGGUCUGUUUCUUAAUCUAAUUACUAUGAGCUUGGUGAUUCACCAUAUCCUUUUACACAUUGAAAUUAAAAUCAUGAAAUGCUUAAUAAAUAUCACAUUGAAUAUUUAUAUGUUUUUCAUUGUUUGUCAUUCUUAAUAAUUCCUGUUAAUGUUCAAAUAUCAACUGAUAUUUUCUGAUGAAAUAUUUUUAACUAACACGAAUUCUUAUGAAAACUAAAACAUUUAUUUAAUAAAAGUAAUAUAUCUCAUUUCAAUUAUUACAACUAAAUUUAUGUCAAUAGAAACUUCAGAGCAACUUGUGAGUUAGAAACUUAUUUCAUCAUAUAACCGAGGACAUGAAUGUCUUUUAGACCUUUCAUACAUAUAAAUGCCAACUCAUAUGUUUGACCAUUUUGUUUGUGGGGGGUAAUUUGUGAGUUUUCAAAUUAUAGAUAUAAUCUGCUACUCACUUCUUAUUAUAGGGGCAACUUGUAAUUAAGCCAAAUAUUGCAAUUAAAUGUUGUUAGAAUGGAUAGCCCUCAGAGCGAUAAUCUUCUUGCCAGAGCAAUUAAAUUUGUAUUUACUCUCAAAUAUUUAAUUUUUGUUAAAUACAAAAUCUACAGUUUCCCUUCCGUAAAAAUAUUAAUUAAUGUAACACUUUUUCAAUUUUAGUACAAAUAUUUAUGUAUUUAACAUAAAUUAAAUGAUUCAAAAUAAAAUGCCCAUAAAGAGCCAAUACUUUACUCAUGUAAUGGAUGAAAGCCAUAAAGAAUUAAUACUUUAUGGGCCAUUUCUUUUUUUAGAAAUGUUUAAUUUAUAUUAAAUAGAUAACCUAGCGAUUUCCUUUUUGUAAGAAUAUUACUGUAACAUAUUUUGAAUUUUACUUACAAACAUUGAUAUAUUUAUCAUAAAUUAAAUGUUUGAGAGUAAAAUGCCCAUAAAGAACCGAUACUUUAAAUAGGUAAUGCGUAUUUGCCCAUAAACUAAACUCCUUAAAGUUUAUUAAUUGUUAAUUGAUUUGUAGUACUGUGUCAUUCAUUUGCUAAUACUACUUGACAUGUAGCACAAAGAGCAAAUCUAGUACAAACUUCUCAUUUCACUCCCUAAAACAAUAUUUUAAUCGUUUGAACUGAAUUUGCAAAGAAUUAGUAAGGUUAGGGGAGGUCAGUGCAAUUUUUCAAAUCACAGGGGAGGUCAGUGCAAGUGUCAGAAUCCUCAAGAGAGGUUUCUGCAAUUUUCCCUACAUUAAAAUGAUUGAAUUGAUGGUUCAGAUGUUUGAACUGAUAAAGUCAAAACCAAUCACUCAUUUUGUUUAUCAUUAGUCUGCGUUUCAAAAAUAUUUUUAACUGUUAAAGUUGUUCAAAAUGUGGAAUACUUUAAAAAAAAAUCCUCCCUGAAUUUCUAGUAAUAUCAUUUAGCGCCCCUAUAGUUCUAAAAGUAUCACUUACCUUCCCCACAAGUGAAAUGCGACAAAAAUUCACGAAUACAAUAAUCUUGUUUCAUCUUCUCCACAAAACCCUCAAUGGAUUUUUUCUCAAUUCCCUGUAGCAUUAAAUUAACUCCAGCAAGGACUAAAAAUAGCCUCCAUCUUGAGUUGUCAUCAGGAAAAUUGAUGAAAGAGUUUUUGGCAACUUCAACAUACAAUAAUAAAGCAAAAAUAAAUAUAACAUACAAGAAUCUUGUUGUUUGGCCAAUUGACCUAUGCCACAAGUGAAAGAGCGGCAAGUUGACUGUAAAGAAGAGAGUACAAAAUCAUAAGUUUUAAAGUACUAAAUACUAAAAUACAAAAAAAAAAGUUAGAUAUAGCAAAAGGCCCAACAACCUAAAAGAGGUCCAAAUAAGCUUCUCUAGCUCUUUCGGUUGGCAGUUCUCAAAAAUCUGUCUCUUAAAUUGGGGCCUCCCGAAUCUCUCUUGAUAUACUAACGGUCCAAGCUUGCUAUUAGUCUCUUUUCACGAGAAAGUCCAACAAAGAGUUUGGCACUAACUUUUCUUAGCUUUUCUAUCUUAUCAGGUCUUCCAUUUGCAACGAGUUCUCUUUAUGAAGUUCAUGACCAAAUGGGUGAGAAUCCUAAGUUAGCAACACCAGGAUGAUCUAUACUUUUCUUUGUUCCUUUGAUAAAGUAACAUCCAUUGUCUUGGUGGUAAGCGUAGAUAUCCUACAUUUAUAUCAACAGGAAAAAUAUAAAACUAAAAAAAAAUUUAACCAAACCAAUUGACUAAUAAUUUUAUAAAUACAUAUAAAUUGUUUGCUCUAUAUUUUCUUAGCUUUCUUGUUUUUAUUAGUGCUAAUUCUCAGUUAGAGGCUAGGUACUUAUAUAAGCAUUAUGCAUACUUAGAGGUGUGGCAAAAUAAAAACUUCUAUCACGGUUGAAACUCCUUUAGAUUUUCACAUAGAAUGAACCAAAUUUAAUGAACAUCAUAACACAGCAAAUUUGGCAAUUGAAAUACAUAUUUUUUAAUUUGAGAAACUAAUAAAAACCCAUGAAAUGGCAAACUUAAGUGCCACCUAUUGAUUUUGAAAGGAACCUGUUAGCUAAAAUUGAUUUUUUUUUUCCUGUAUUCCUUGUGCUUUUUCUUAAACAGACAUUAGCUCCCUAUUUAGUUGAUUUGAAAUAGUGUUUGUUAUUCUUCUGAAGAGUUGGUUUCAACUUGCAACGCUUUGCUUUUAUUUCCUAUUAAGUCAACAAACAAUUAAACACGUGCAUGUUAACCUCCAUAUAUCAUUAUUUCUAGUGUUAAAUGCAUGAAAUGAUUUACUUUCAAGAUUACUAAGGAAAAAAUAUUCCAAAAGGAAUUAGCUUGAUUAAUAAUUCUUGCAAGCUACCAAUUAUUUUUUAAUAACAUUAGGUGGUAAUUAUAUUGAAAUGACUGGAAUUAAUUUGAAUUACAAUUAAAAAAUUUUUAUUAGAAAGCAUCUAAGAAAAUAUUUUCACCUUCGUAUGACACAUCGAUCGCUAUUCAUUUUUCUAUAUUUUGAUUUGUGAAUGACUUUGGCACUCCAAAAUUAAUCUUAGACAUACCACUUAAUCUUCUUGUUAACUCAGCUGAUCUAAAUGAUCAUGCCCUAGCAUAGAAGACAAAUUUGAUGAACAUAUUGCUAAAUUAUAUAUAAUAAUGUCUUAUGGAAUUUUUUUAGCCAAAGAAUAGUUAUUUUUUGGAUUGCUUAAAAAGCUCAACAUCUCAACAAAGAGUAAUAGAAUUGAUUAGAAAAGUCAAAAUUUAGAUAAUUGCAUAAAGAUUUUAUAAUUCUUAAAUCAUAUAAUCUCUCCACUACUCUGUCAAAUCAACAUUUUGAGUUGGAACUGCAUCAAAUUAGUGGUCGUGACAUGCAAAUACUAACUCUUCUCACAUAGAUAUGUCACAAGGGAUAUAUCUAUAUCCACUAGCAGGUUUUGACAAAAAGAAAAAAAAAAUCCACUAGCAGGAAUGAUAUUCACGUUUCAUUGCAAGCAUUCUGUCUUCAACUCAAAAUUGCAUGCAGGAAUCCUUGCCUCAAAAUUGCAUGUAGAAAUUUGUGUCAACAACAUUCUAUUACGAAAUAUAACCUCAAGGUUAAUAUUUUCUCUAAGUUUAGUUCUGCAAAGUUUAAGCAAUUAGCAAGUUGAGCUCUUCCUAAAGGCAUGAGUUUAAUUUCAUUUUUAUGCCUUCACAGUAUGGGGCUUCAAGAAUCACAUUACUUGGUGUAAUUGGGUUCCAAGGUAGCUAGUUGAUUUUGAGUUCUCACGUUUAUCUAGAAUGGCAAGAAAUUUUCUUAUAAAUGUAGCAUCAGUUAACUUCUAAAAUCCAUCCACAAGAACUUAUUUUGGCAUAUGUCAUAGAUCCAAUAAUGAUAGUAUAUACACUGUCAAUAGAUAUAAGAUUUAUUUUUUUUGUAUGGAUUAAUUUUUCAUACACUGAUGAUGUAUACAUUAUCAGGCUUCGAUUAAUAACAAUUAUGCAAACUUUAAAUUUGAAAUUCAACUUUUACCCAUGUGUCAUGGAUCCAAUAGUGAUAGAAUAUAUACUGUCAGUGUUUAUUUUUUUUGUAUGGAUUAAUCUGUCUAACUCCGACAGUGAUACACUAUUAGUCUUAGAUGAAUGACAAUAAUGCAAAAUUUGAAUUUGAAAUUCAAUUUUUGUAUAUCUGUCAAAGAUCUAAUAGUGAUAUAUAUUGUCAGUAUAUAUAAUAUUUACUCCUUUUAUUUUUAUCCCUUUCCUCAAGUAUUUCCUUCAUUCAUAAUUUUAUUCCUUAAAAGUUUUUAGAUAUUCUUCUUUAGUUUCCAAAAGUUUCCCCAGGAGAGGUUUCUUAAUAUCGCAACAAUUAAUCAUGUUGAACAAGAAAUUGAUAUGCUAAUCUUCUUUAGUUUCCAAAAAUAUUGUCAAAGAAAUUUGUUAAACUUCUUUCCGAACAAUUUCUUUUAACAAUAUUGCUCAAGAAAAUUCAGGAAAUCUGCUUACUUGCUCCAAAAUUAAUCGAUUGCCAAAGAAAUUUCUAAAACUUCUUACAAAAAAUUUCUUUCCAACUAUUGCCCAACAAAGUUAACAAAAUCUGAGUUUAAUAUAUUUUAUAUUUCUAAAGUAAAAACUCAUUCUUGCUGUUACAUUGAAUUACAUAAAUAGCCACAAUUAUCAUAAAUAAUGCAGAGCUAAAAAAACAACAUUGCAUACAGAGGGUAUUAUCGGAAUACAAGAUCUAAUGCACUAAUCCGCUAAUUUAGACUCUUGCUCUUAAUAUAUUAUAGAUAAGUUGUACCUCUAUAAGCGUUUAAUUAGAGCUACACGCUAGCCACAAUAUUGUAGCAGGAAGACUGGCUAAUUCUUGAUUGAUUUACAAUAUAUGAUUCAAAUUAGACAAUUAGUUUGAAAACUUGAAAUUAAUGCAGAAACCAUUACAUGAAUGUUGUAAUCUAAUAACUGAUGUGACUGCAAAAAGUGUCCAAUUUGGUACAUGCAUUUGGUCAUAAAAAAAAGCGGCCAAAUUGGUACAUGCAUGGCCCACCAAUAAUGUGCAUCAGAUUGGGAGGAAUCUUUGUUUGGCGCUACACUGAAGUUGUUGGCAAAGUUCUGAAGCACCAUAUCUUCUGUGAACAAGAUAGUGUCUUGCAAUAUUUACACAAAAAGUGGGAUAAAAAAAGUCCAGCCUAUUGUUUGUUGGCUAUUGUUAGAUGAGAAAGUUUUGGAUCCUGAACUGAUUUUAUUGAGCAGCUGCUAAACCACAUAAAAAUCUAAUAUCAGAGUGAAAAGAAGAUAUGAUAAUGGAGAUCCCCUCCAGCAGUAACGCCAAUUGCUUUGAUUAUCUGCAGUCGCAUCACGUCUCCUCCAGCACUAGCACUAGUUGCUUUGAUCUUGCUUUAGAUUUUCUAGCCGAGCGCCGGGUCUUCAAGGACGUGGAGAAGAGGGUAAGAUUAAUGAAAACCUGUUUUCUGUAUGUCAAAAAGUGUAGGAGGAGGAGGAACCACGAAGCGCUUUUGGAGCAUGAUCGCGAGGACAGGUGUAAUAUUAUGUCUGAAAAUUUGAGACGUAGUAUUAUUUGCUUCAGAAUUCAAGAUGUGGCUAUCAGGAUGAUUCAAGAACUUCAGCCUAUUUAUUUUGAAUUUAUUAGUACUGAUUAUCUCUUAGAUUUUGACAUCGUUGAAAGGACGGCUACCAGAUCCAAGGAAAAGAUGAAAAUGCUUCUUGAGACAGAUCUCAAGAAAUCAUGCGCCGCCAUCUUCAUCGACUAUUACUCACCAGAAGAUCCACGACUAGUUAUGGAUCUUAUUAUGUGCCUUAUAGAGAAUCUGAAUUGCGUUUUACGUGCUGGGGAGCUAAGGGAUACACUUAGAAAUAGGCUAAAACUCUUAAGGAAUCUCAUUUGCUUUGUGACAAUGCAAGGUCUUGAAUGUUCGCAACUGACAGAUCUCUUGACUUACACUGUAGUUGCAGCUGGAAGCCUGAUUUCUAUAUGUCUGUCUGACUAUGAUGAUGAACAAGCGGUCAAUCGAAUGGAAUCUGAAAUUUAUCAGCUGAUACACGAGAAGAUCAAUCUUCAUGAUCUACAAGUUCGAGAAACUUUUGUCCAUGCCCUGACAGCUUCAAAGAAACAACCGAGAUCAUCAUAUGAUUUAGCCCUUCAGAAGAAUGACGAUCCAGUGGUAGGCCAGUUUAUUGGUUCUCUCUGCUAUUAUCUUAUAGAUCUACUAGGAUCUUAUGCCAGUUUUCAGGUUCCAGUGAAGGAUCAAAUACUGAAACUCCAUGAGGGAUUAAGAUACCUGGAUAUCCUUCUUAAACAGGAGGAGAAACUAGGUGAUGAAAUAAAGGAUCUUAUUCGAGUUGCGGUCUCUGAUGUAGGAAUUUUGACCUUCUCCCUUUCUGUUAAUGAAAUCAAAGAAGGCUUGCCUGAGGAAACAGAUCUUGGGGUGUUUCAUUUGCACAAAGUUCUCAAAUAUAUGGUGGCAGAGGUUGCACAAAAUUAUCCACUAAAAUCACCAUAUUCAUCAUUUAAUUAUCCUAGACCCAAUGAGUUGGGCUGUAUGGAUUCUUUCCUAGAAAAUCUCAAGGAACUAGCAAGGUGUGAUGAGGCUGAUGAUUCAAUUGGUUUUCAACAUCAUAGAAUCCAAGUGAUCCAAAACGAUCUCGUAUUCUUAAGAUCUUUCCUGGAAAAUAUCAAGGAGCAGUGCUAUCAGAAUGGAAAACUUCAAGCUUUCUGGAGUCAUGUUAUGGAGGCUGCAUACAAGGCAGAGUUACUGAUUGACUUGGCACUUGUUGGUGAUAAAUGUGAAGAUUCUUUGGAUGCUGUUUCUAG